CUCUGGGUCGGUGUCAAAAGGAUCCAGGGCGUGAAAGAG
rnacentral:ncRNA from 1 species